rnacentral:tRNA from 1 species
AGUGCUGCGCCGGUUAGAACGGAUUACAUUGAUGUCGUAAAAUAUAAUAUCCCCUAUUCAGCACUA